AACAGAAAAAUUUACUUCACAUAGAUCUUUUCCAUAAAACCUUGUAUCCAUUGACAACCAAGCUCCAAAAUAGGCCUAUAAAAGCACCAUAAACGUAAUACAACUCGUGUGCUAAAUUACAAGUCUUCUGAAACCACAUGAUAGCUUUGUGUCAGCAUAUGAGUCAUAUUAGACAUUUGUGGUGCUUUUUUGUCCUUUCUGUGGCUUGACAGCCCAUGGUCACUGUGAACUGGAAUAUGGAAAAUAUUAAUGUGAAGAUGUGAAAACUAUAUUUGUGCUCCUUGGAAGAAAUAAACAGCAUACAGGGUUGGAAUAACAUGAGGGUGAAUAAGCAAUAAAAAUUUUCAUUGUUGAGCAAAACUAUUUGGUUCCACUGUAAGUUGUCCUACAAAAAUAAGUACAGAGCAAUAUUAAUAAGCAAUAUGCAACUGCUAGAGUUAGGGUUUGGGUUAGUUGCUUAUAAUUAAGCAACUAACCCUAAUUAAUUUAAAGUUAGUACUAUAGGUGUAACACAAGGACACUUUAAAAUGAAGUGUUACCAACUAAAAACACAUUAAAAACUAUUAAUGUAUAAUUGCUGGCUCAUAACACAUGCCAGACAUUGAAACUAAACGCAUCAAAUUUGAUAUCUUUUGUGCUCUUGACUUUGCUGAAAAGUUUUGAAAAUAAUACCCAUUUUAUGUGGUUUAUUUACCCUUGACAUGGCUAUAUAAAAUAAAAGAUUUUUUAGAAAGAGAGAAGUUAAGAGUUUAUCAGUGAAACUGGUGAAAAUGUUUAAUGUUGUUGAAUUCCCAUUACAGUGAGCAAAACCCAACUUUAACCCCUUGGACUUAUUUGUUGGUGACCCUGCUACAGGCUGUUAAUAUACUGCACGAAAACAAAAGUUCCUUUGUUUGUUCGCGUUUUGUGUCCCAAACAAGCAAAGAAUGAUACAGGUUCCUGAAAGCUAAACAGCCUGCCGAUCAAAUGACGAUUUACAAUCCGACAAAAGCUGCGCUUCAAUUCGAAUACAUUACAGCGAGUAAGUAUUUAAUGUUGAAAUAGUAGUUUAGCUUAACUAUCUGAAAGGCAGAUUACCAAGCAAACGGGGAAUAAGCAAGGUUAUUUUGGAGCAUGUCCAGGAAAAAUCAGCUGAGAGCGGCUCCGCAAUUAGAAAAACACGUUGUCUUUGACCCGAGGACCGCGACAAACAACAAAUCGACUUGGUGUCAGCGUCAACGCGACAUCGAAAGCGAAUAUUUUCCUUCGAAAGUAGUUAAUAUUACGCACGGAUGACCGCGUUGAAAUCGCUGACCAGAUGAAAGUCAUUUUGUUUGUGAUACUCAACUAGCCAGGCUAACGCGCUAGCUCUGCUAACGGCUAGUUGACGUGAUGGCACGCACACAAAACGGACAGCCGGGAUCUCGAGACCGUCCCACGGACACUUGCGGUGGCUUAAAACCCCCGCUAGCUCGAAUAUUUACCCGUAUUUCCGUGUGAUUGAGGAGAAAUCGACGACCUUGAUCCACAGAAAUCUGACAGAGUAGGUUCCUGCUAUGCGCGUGCGGCCUGCUCCU